GGGCGCAAGUCCUGGUCUCUGGCUGUUUGGGCGCUCGCCCCGCCGGGUCCGCGGGAGUUCUGGGUCCAGAGCUCGCCUUUUCUGGGAUCCUGGAGUCGCGGCGCUGAGCGCGCGCCCCGAACUCUUCUCUCCCCAGGGUCAGGCCGUUCUGGGUUCUCCGAGCCACCGGUCUCCCUCGGCGUCAAGCUCCCCCUGCUGCCUCGGGAAGCUCACCGCCGCGCAGAGGCCGCCCUCGGCCUCAGACUUCGGUCAGUCAACCGCGCGGCCCCCGCCGCCAUUUGCUCGAGGGUUGGUGACUCUGAGAUUUUUACACCCUCCUCCCAGCGUCAGCCUCACGCCUGCGGGACCUGUUCCCGGGUUGAACGCAAAGCAGGCCCGGCGACCUCCGGGACGCCGCGGGGAGCUCCUAGGCCUCCUCCUGGAGAGGACUUGGUAGAGGAAGACAGGCUUCGCGUCGCCUACCCGGAGGGGGCAGCCUCCCGCGCCUCCGAGCCGCCUGCCCGCACUGCACCCGGGACGACGCCGUCUUGCUCCUACUCUGUCUGGAGGUGGAUGGUCCAGGCUAAGAAUGGCCUUCGGUCAUCAGGCACCCAGGGUCCUCUGCCUUCCUCUGUGCCAGCCCAACCAGGAAGCUUUCAUCCUCACAUCGUCUCUGAGUCCAAAAUGGCUGCUGGAGUUCUGCUACCAUCACCUCAUACCAGACAACAGGAAGGAGGAGUGAAAAGAGGUGCCUGGAGUCGUAUACUGCAAUGAUUUAGAGUGGGAUUUGUCAAAAAUUAAUUUUUAUGCCUAUAAAGAUCUUUGGUUAGGGACCUGUUCAUUUUCGCCAUGCAACCCACACACAGCACCAAGCCAGGAAGAAGGGACCGAUCGUCUUUGAAAAAAGAACAACGAAAAUAAAAUCUCAUGGGAUGAAAGGGAGUAGCAUUGUAAACCUACCUCCCACCCCCUUCCAUGUUAUCGGAAAAAAACUGAAUACAGCCUCCAACUCAAAACAGAGGCAGACCAAUGCUAAAUCAACUUUGCACUAACCUUACCUUAAGUAAUUACAAGGUAACUACAAGAAAGGUAAAGAUACAAGACACAACCAAAAAGAACACAAACGUUAUCACUGAAUCAUAGCGACCCUCGAGUGAGUUCUAAUCAUGCCUCCAUACACCCACACCGGCGCUUGGGACACACCUAUG